rnacentral:rRNA from 1 species
CGAGUCCUCGGGGCGCAGCAGUGGGGAAUAUUGCACAAUGGGGGAAACCCUGAUGCAGCGACGCCGCGUGAAGGAAGAAGUAUCUCGGUAUGUAAACUUCUAUCAGCAGGGAAGAAAAUGACGGUACCUGACUAAGAAGCUCCGGCUAAAUACGUGCCAGCAGCCGCGGUAAUACGUAUGGAGCAAGCGUUAUCCGGAUUUACUGGGUGUAAAGGGAGCGCAGGCGGCAUGGCAAGUCAGAUGUGAAAGCCCGGGGCUCAACCCCGGGACUGCAUUUGAAACUGUCAGGUUGGAGUGCAGGAGAG